GCGUCUGAAUUUCCCCUUUUGUCGUUCUCCAUCUAUGCAGGUGGCAGAUGAUUCCCUUAAAGGCUACAAAUCCAGAGGCUACAAAGACUACAAUCCAGAGAACCACACAACCAAUUCUGGUGGACUUUUCUCUUCUUCCUUUAAAGAAAAGUCCUUUGCACUGCAUGGGAAGUUGCUUUUCAUGGAGGGCUAUUAUUACAAUGCAAAAUAUCCAAACCCUAGGACACAGUAGCUCUCUGGACUGUUGGUCCAAAAAGAGAGUGUAAUACUGUUGCAUUGUUAGUGCAAUUAGGAAGGGAUGUGUGGUAAGAAUGAGCGCCACUGGCAAAUCACUUGUAUAGCAGAAGUUUCCUUUUUGAUAACAAAGUGUCUUAGAAGCAUGGACAUCAAUUUCCUCUUAUGAACUUUCCUUUCUGGGAGCAGAGGGGGUUAACCACCAAAUCCUCAUGGCUCUUGGGAUACCAUCCCAGGCACUGAAGCACUGUGGUCUUAAUGUGGCUUUACAGCCUUUGUAAGGUGACUUGGAAGGCGCUUGAACAGACUGCACUUUUAUAUCACGAGAUGCAGAGCCAAUCUUAAGAAAUGAGGCUACAAAGUGGAGUCCACAACAUGUGAGUGUGGAGAAGAACAAACUACAGACCACUUACUACAAUGCAGUCUGAGCCCUGCCAUAUGCACAGUGGAGGAACUUCUUACAGUGACACCAGAGGCACUCUAAAUGGCCAGAUUAUAAUCAAAGGAAAUUUAGCAUAAUGCCGACUUUUUAACUUUUAACUGUUUUUUAUGCAUUAUAAUUGUAUUCUCAAUCACUUCUGAUGAUAAAUAAAUAAAUACAGCCUUUGUAGUA